ensembl:lncRNA
GGGGGGGCUGCCGAGCCCCGGGACUUGCAGAAGGAGGCUCCCCGAGCAGAGCUGCCUGUGCAAAAGGUGACUCUCCGUUUUCUUCCGGCAGGAAAUUCCUGACUCGGAAGGACAAAGAGAGUAUCUUCACCAUGGACCACUUCCCUCUGUGGUACCGCCGGGCGGCCGAGCAUCCCCCUGGGAGCUUCAUCUACAGCAUCGUUUCAGAAGAUGACUCAGAGGGCGGCGGCCUACCAAAAGUGGUGACUGUUAGCACGGCAGUGGCUGUAUCUGUCGAUGGGAAGAUGGGUAUUGCUGCAGGUAGGAAAUUUCUGACUUUUCUUCCUCUCUUAAAUGAAAUGGUAGCAUCUUGUAUUGAGAGUGGGAGUUGAGAUCUGUUUUCUUGUCAUUCUAUGGAAGUGACAGGAGCCACAAAUGAUUGUCAUGUUGAAAACAAAGAGCAUUGGAAAAGGUACAAAUGGCCGACAUGUCUUUGGAAGGAAAGCUGGCUGUCUGAACGGAAGCUUCCUAUCUUCAGUGCCAGUGACUUUGUGGACUGAGGCUAUUUCUUUGGAGCACGAGCAGGUUGAGAAAUCUGUGCAAGUUUUGAACUGUUUCGAAAGAACAGCACAUUCCUAUAUCUUUAUUGUUAUCUCAUCUGAAAAGUAACUUCUGUUGGUGGAAUGGGCUUGCUGCUGGCUUUCCAACUCACGUAUUCGAUUUCUAAACUUCUCUUUCUAUCUGGGCUUUGAUUCCCAUUUGACAGACCUUCACCAGAUUCUGCAUCUACUCUUGGAAUACUUGUAAAGCACAAUAUUUCCCUCAAAAUCCAAAAGCUUUUGAACGUGAACCUUCACCAUUUUCAGUAGUAAUUGCUUCUGAUAGAAGGCUAUAUUUAAUACCUUCAAAUCACAGUCAGCCAUUUCUUUUACCUAGACUAGGUAAACCCAGGGUGCAAUAGAUGAUCUUCAGUCUACUAUUAAGUUAAAUUAUGGCAAUUUAACUUCAUCUGAUGAACUUCUCCUUAAUUUCCAGGCUCUCAGUAAGUUCCAGUUGAGAGUAGUACUCUCUAAGUAUCACAUGUGGUUUGCGAGAGUACUUAUAAUCUAAGGGACUGAUGAUACAAAAUAGUGCUUUUCAAUUCUAUUCCACCACUUCAAAUCCAAACAAUGAAAUUUAUUAGGAAGUGAAGCCUGUCCAGAGAUUCUUGUGAAAUAGAGGUGUUUUCAGUACAGUCCAUUUUAAUUAAGUGUUCAACUCAUAGAAAAUACUCCCCAAACUGAUACUAGCUGUCACUUUACAAGUACACUGGCAGAGAAUGAAACGAGCAUUGAGAUUAUGCUAAGUGUGCAGCUCUGGGGCAUUUUUCUGGUAAUGAAUUUGAGAGGAGAAAAAAAAUGCUCUUUCAAAAAGAUUAUUCUUCAUGAUUCUUUUUGUUUCUUUUUGUUUCUUUUCCUGACCUGUGAGUUAGAACAGAGGCACACAGACAGUUGAUUCGGCACUCAACAUAAAUACUAGGAAGGAAACUUCUAGGUAGAAGAGCUAAAGCAAGAACAAGUGGCUGUAGGAGCUGCCCCUGACAGAGCCAAUUCUCUUCUGUCAGCAGCACUUCCCACAACCCCUGUGGAGAUUUCCACCCCCUCAGUUAUCCGGGAUGCUGAAUCGACUGUCUCUGUGGACAUGCUGUGAAGGGGCAGAAUCCUCUGCUGUGGGAACAGGGGGUGGAGAAAGCAGCAGAGGACAGGGGAAAAAAAAACUGUCAAUAAUUGCAAGGCAAAAUUUCUGACAUUUGUGGAAAUGAUACAGAACAAACGAUUUUCCUCAUUCAUAAUCAGAGAAAAAGAGAAGUGAAUUCUCAAUUGGUUUUGUACGGUAGAGAUGCCAUUGGUCCUUGUCGCAAGUAGGCAUAUUCAGUGACGACCACAAUCAUCUGCUGCUUACUUUCACACAUGGUAUAUUCAGCAGCACUGAAGGAAACAUUUUCUCCCAGAGGGUCUAAAAUUCUUCAGACUCCAGCUGUAGCCCUUACUGACUUCAGUGGAGUGCAAGGCUUUCUUGAGGUAAAUCCCAUCUGCUAUACUGGGCAGAGGUUUACAACUUGUUGUGGGGCUUCAGGGAGCAAAGUGGCACUAUAUAUUACCUUUUGUUUUGUUUUCAGUAGUGAAUAGGUUAAUCAUCUGAAUCUUUCAUAAUUCCAGUAGUCAUUAAAAAAAAGAGUUACCCAUUACAAUACUAUU